rnacentral:rRNA from 1 species
UCCUAACUCUGGCGGCGUGCUUAACACAUGCAAGUCGAACGGAAAGGCCCUGCUUUUGUGGGGUGCUCGAGUGGCGAACGGGUGAGUAACACGUGAGUAACCUGCCCUUGACUUUGGGAUAACUUCAGGAAACUGGGGCUAAUACCGGAUAGGAGCUCCUGCUGCAUGGUGGGGGUUGGAAAGUUUCGGCGGUUGGGGAUGGACUCGCGGCUUAUCAGCGUGUUGGUGGGGUAGUGGCUUACCAAGGCUUUGACGGGUAGCCGGCCUGAGAGGGUGACCGGCCACAUUGGGACUGAGAUACGGCCCAGACUCCUACGGGAGGCAGCAGUGGGGAAUAUUGCACAAUGGGCGGAAGCCUGAUGCAGCAACGCCGCGUGCGGGAUGACGGCCUUCGGGUUGUAAACCGCUUUCGCCUGUGACGAAGCGUGAGUGACGGUAAUGGGUAAAGAAGCACCGGCUAACUACGUG